rnacentral:rRNA from 1 species
UGGGGAAUAUUGCACAAUGGGCGCAAGCCUGAUGCAGCCAUGCCGCGUGUAUGAAGAAGGCCUUCGGGUUGUAAAGUACUUUCAGUCGGGAGGAAGGUGGUAAGGUUAAUAACCUUAUCAAUUGACGUUACCGACAGAAGAAGCACCGGCUAACUCCGUGCCAGCAGCCGCGGUAAUACGGAGGGUGCAAGCGUUAAUCGGAAUUACUGGGCGUAAAGCGCACGCAGGCGGUUGAUUGAGUCAGAUGUGAAAUCCCCGGGCUUAACCCGGGAAUUGCAUCUGAUACUGGUCAGCUAGAGUCUUGUAGAGGGGGGUAGAAUUCCAGGUGUGGCGGUGAAAUGCGUAGAGAUCUAGAGGAAUACCGGUGGCGAAGGCGGCCCCCUGGACAAAGACUGACGCUCAGGUGCGAAAGCGUGGGGAGCAAACAGG